rnacentral:rRNA from 1 species
UACGUAGGGUGCAAGCGUUAAUCGGAAUUACUGGGCGUAAAGCGUACGUAGGCGGCUUUGUAAGUUAGAGGUGAAAGCCCGGAGCUUAACUCCGGAACUGCCUUUAAGACUGCAUCGCUCGAAUCAUGGAGAGGUCAGUGGAAUUCCGAGUGUAGAGGUGAAAUUCGUAGAUAUUCGGAAGAACACCAGUGGCGAAGGCGACUGACUGGACAUGUAUUGACGCUGAGGUGCGAAAGCGUGGGGAGCAAACAGG